AUGUUAAACUUUACCUUGAACGAACAAGUGAUGGAAAAAGUUAUUUUGGGAUUUAUAACAAACAAGGCUUUGACAACGCUCUAAGGACAGAUUUAGCGAAAUAUAUAAUAACAGCAGAGUUAGCUGACGAUCCGAACAAACGAAUUACUCCAGACGAUUUCAAACGACUUAGUUUACAAAUUGUACAACUUUUUCCUUUGGAAAUAGUGGAUACUUGGUACAUUCCGAGAAGGAAGUGUAUUGGAACUGAUCGUGCAGUACAGCCUAGAGGAAAGCUAUAUAAUCAGUACACGAGAUUAAUAUGUAAACUUCGAAGAGCAGAGCUUCAUAGUACCAAUUUAUAAGAAGAAGAGGAAAACACAGAUAUUUUUCAUAACUUUAAUGGAGCGGGCAGUUCAGAAACGCAGUUAGACAGCUUUCAGUGGUUACGAAGGUGUCUGGAACCACAGAAUGAGGCUAUAGUAAAAUGGAAAGAGACUGCCUCUGUAAGACUGCUAAAACUCAGAAGUACAGAAUAUAGGCGAAAAAAGGGCAAACAAUUUAUUAGUGAAAUUACUGAAUACUUUAAUGAAUUUCGUGUUUUGCGACAGCC